UUUACCCGUACAAACACACAAUUUCAGAUUUAAAUCAAGCUGUGACACACAAACAAGGAAUGAUAGAAAAUAAAGUUUCUUUCGUUUCUUCCUGGGUCUUCUGUAAGUAAUUGUACAGCUGUGGAUGACCGGUGUUUUGUCUUUGUUUAACUUCUCAUUCUUGGAAUGUGCCGUAAUUGAAGGAGCUGCCCCACGGUUACGAACACGUUCUUGGUUGGAUCAUACACGCUCGUCUCACCAUGACCAUGUUGGCCCUCCUGUUGUGUGUUCUGUUGACUGUGCAGUCUCUCGCUCUGGAUGUCCAUGUCCCAGAAUCCCCUGUGGUGGCACUGUUUGGAAUGGACACAAUCCUCAACUGCUCAUUCUCAGGGGUCACAAACUUUAACCUAUCUGACCUGAGUGUGUUCUGGCAGCUAUCAGACACAAAACGCAACAUUCACAGUUUUUGGCACAGUCAAGAUCAGCUGGCCGAUCAAGAUGAGAGAUUUGCAAACCGCACCAGCCUGUACUCAGAUCAGCUGACGGCAGGUAAUGCGUCGCUCUUGCUGAAGAAAGUCCGGGUAGAGGAUGAGGGAAGCUACACCUGUUUUGUAAGGGUGCAAACACACAGCAGUGCCGCCCUGCUUAUGCAAGUCGCAGCUCCAUUCUCCAAGCCCUUGGUCACUUGGGAUGCAGAGCCCAACCUCAGGCCUGGUGAAGUGGUGGCCCUCACCUGUGUGACAUAUGGGGGUUAUCCUGAAGCAGAGGUGCUGUGGCAAGAUGGGGCCGGACGAAACCUUACAGACAACAUUACCAUCUCACAAGUAGCCAAUGAGGAGGGGCUCUUCAGUGUGAAAAGUGUUCUGACGGUGAUUCUGGAGCCCAAUAGCACGUACAAUUGCAGAUUGACCAAUCCACUAUUGGGUGAGGAAGGACAAGCAUCUGUUACGAUCACAGCUCAGAAUAUGGUGUUCCCACCAGUGGCUUUGUGGGUGACGGUUGGUCUGGCCUUGUGUUUGCUGGGACUGCUCAUUGCGUUGGCUUCUGUCUGUCGCAGGAAAAUCAAAGAGAGCUGUGAGGAGAUGAGAGCUGAGGAAGAAGCAAAAGAACUUGAGGAAGCCAAAGAACUAGAAGAAGCCAUGUCAGCCCUUGGAAAUUGAUCACCCCAGAAAGCUCCAUUCAACUGACACUCCCUUGAAGACCAGCUAAGUAUCCCCAUGUGAUUUUUUGUUUGCAUGUAUUUGUGCUGCUUGCUUACAGUUAAUUGUCACAUACUUUGGCACCACUAAAAAUCUGUGGGAGAAAGAAAAGAGAAAAAGCAGGUCUUCUGUUUGAGUGUUGGGCAGGUUGUAAUGAUGUUGUGUGUAUAGACUGCAGUUAGCUCUCCAGGGAGUAUGAGCCUGAGAUGGUUGUUACUAGCCCAGCUGAACUCAAUACUGCAAUACUGUUUUUUACUGGCCUUGAGUUGUUUACCUCUUUACCCACAUCCUUACAGAAAACUAUUUUGUUCUCUCUUUGUUUUAGCUGCAACACCUCUAAAGAGCUAAAGCUGGAUGGAGACCAAAGUGUGCUAACUCGGCAACCUCCACCACCCCACCACCACCAGUUGAGCCCUGUCCCGCACGGGGGUAGGCUCCUUGCCCCUGCCUCCUAUCUCCGGCAGUACAUGACGGUUCCGGAUACAACUCCCUCUGACCGCCGGACGGGGCCUACGCCAAAGAGAGAGACAUUACUUUCUGUUUUACAUUUAUCAAAUAAAUGGCAUCUUAAACUUCACUUAAGCCUGCGUGUCUUCCCGACUGAAAUUACUUUCUCUCUUCUGUUGAUGUAACAUCUGAGGUUGUUACCCAUCCUACCAACUACCAGAGAGAGCCCUCUCACGAAUACUGAUCUUCACCCAUUUCUUCACUGCUCAUUUCCUGUUAACCACAUGUAUAUCUAGCCAUGCAGUUCCAUUGUUUUGUGUGAAGUAUUGCCAGUUUACCCUGCCUUACCGUGCGGUUUUCCAUUGCUAUUGUUUAUUGAUUCAUAUUAUGACUGUUGCCUGUUUUUCUGAAUUUACUGCUUUUCAAUUACCCUUUGUUUUGUUUGCCUGGUUGGACUGUCUAUUUGGUUUAUACAGAGAGACAGUCCUGGUUGGACUGUCUCUCUGCCUGCUGUUUUGGAUUGUUUGCUUGUGUCUCUUUUAAUAAACUUCCUACACAUGGAUCCUAACACCAUCUCCAUGGCCAGUUCAUUACAGUUGAACACAAAAGCUUAAUUUUUGAAGAACAUUCUGGCCACGUUGUUUCUUUCAUGUUGCUAAUGAAUGUUAAGGGGGACUCCAAAAUGACAAAAAAAAAGCACAAUAAGUAUCAUAGUUGUGGUCAGACCAAAAUGUAAGUCAUUUUUCACAUAUAAUCUUUCCCUAAGGUGAGAUGUAACCACUAAGAGUUGAAAUCGAGAAGCGGCUCAGUCCGAUUCAUGAACAAAUUAUUCCGAUGGGUUUUAUGAACCGGAUCAAUUCAUUUCUUUGAAAGGAUACAUGUAAACAUUACUAUACACUACUAUUAUAGUAAUGAUAAUCAGUUAUUGCAUUUGUAAUCAAUGCAUUGCAUUUUCAUUCAUAAAUCAUGCAUCUUUGCAUUGAUUGAUUGAUUUAUUUAACAAUGCCUGAACUUCCAAACUGUGCCAAAAAUCAGAACAUAGUCAUCAGUUUCUGAAAAUCGCAAAAUAUGUAUAUUGUACUGUUUUAAAUUAGUGGUACUAUUGUGCUUUGUUGUACCUGUAUACCACACAAGCCUAACCUGAAUAUGCCUUCCUAAUUUUUCUGAUCUAUUUGUUUUAUUCUUUUUCUUUUUUGUGUUGUCAUAAUUUCAGAGUGCUAAAUCAAGUUUGCUUCUAUUUAGACAUAUCAUGUUUGCAAUCUGUCUCAUUCAUUUCCGAAUGGAGUUUGGUGCAGAGACGUGUGGGUUCUGGGAAAUUGCACAGGUGUGAAAAUAUUGUGUUGUGUUCAUUUGUAUGAUAGAUUACAGGAGGGUUCUGCAGGCCUUGGAGACACAAAAAGGAAGCAGGACUGAGUUUUUCAGAGAGAGUUAUUCUCCGCUUUUAUUGAUGUGGAUGCGUUUGUAUGGACCCUCUUGUGAAAAGGCAUCUAGAUUUUGUAUGACCUUGCAGCAAUCAAUCUUACUUAAAUUUCAUACAUUCAGAAACUAUCUUUGUCACAUUCGUGCAUUUGCAGCCAGAGCUGGUGAGAGAGGUUUACUGUAUUUGUCAAACACAAUUGUCAUGCAAUGUUAAUAUGUCAGUUUUGUUUUUUACUAAAUAAAGAAAUGCA